AUAACAAAAAGUUUUGAAGACAUAGCCUGACAAAUAAUAAAAAGUUUUUGAAGCUAGAAAAACAUAGCCUGACAAAUAACAAAAAGUUUUUGACGCUAGAAAAAUAGAAGUUUUUGAAGAAAAUACAGCAAAGAUGUGUGACGCCAUGUUAACAGGGAAUCAAACGGAAAAAGUUGAAACAGAAGAUAACCAGAAAACAGAGAAAGCUUAAAAGGUUUUUGGCAGAUGCAAUACCUGAUCCUCUCGUUGAAGUAGUCGCCGCCUUUCUUGGUUCGAGAUGGCGAGGGAUUGGACAUCCUCCGAGUGUUCCUGGACUGGACGAGAGAGAAAGAGAGAGA